GACGAACCGAGCGAACGUUGUUCGGAAUCACUGGGCUUAAAGGGCGCGUAGGCGGGUUCUCAAGUCCGGGGUGAAAUCCUCCAGCUCAACUGGAGAACUGCCUCGGAUACUGGGUGCCUCGAGUGUGGUAGGGGUGUGCGGAACUAUCGGUGGAGCGGUGAAAUGCGUUGAUAUCGAUAGGAACUCCGGUGGCGAAGGCGGCACACUGGACCACAACUGACGCUGAGGCGCGAAAGCCAGGGGAGCAAACGGG
rnacentral:rRNA from 1 species